CCUACGGGAGGCAGCAGUGGGGAAUAUUGCACAAUGGGGGAAACCCUGAUGCAGCGACGUCGCGUGAAGGAAGAAGUAUUUCGGUAUGUAAACUUCUAUCAGCAGGGAAGAAAGUGACGGUACCUGACUAAGAAGCCCCGGCUAACUACGUGCCAGCAGCCGCGGUAAUACGUAGGGGGCAAGCGUUAUCCGGAUUUACUGGGUGUAAAGGGAGCGUAGGCGGCGAUGAAAGUCAGAAGUGAAAGCCCGGGGCUCAACUCCGGGACUGCUUUGGAAACUGUAUGGCUAGAUUGCAGGAGAGGCAAGUGGAAUUCCUAGUGUAGCGGUGAAAUGCGUAGAUAUUAGGAGGAACAGCAGUGGCGAAGGCGGCUUGCUGGACUGAAAGUGACGCUGAGGCUCGAAAGCGUGGGGAGCAAACAGGAUUAGAUACCUGUAGUC
rnacentral:rRNA from 1 species